AGGGCGCAGGGCGAAUGCCUUGGCACUGGGAGCCGAUGAAAGACGUGAUAAGCUGCGAUAAGCUUCGGGGAGCUGCAAAUAAGCAUUGAUCCGGAGAUUUCUGAAUGAGGAAACUCACCUGGGUUCAUACUCAGGUACAAUACACUGAAAUUUAAAAUAGGUGUAUUGAGGGAACCGCCUGAACUGAAACAUCUAAGUAGGGCGAGGAAGAGACAUCAAACGAGAUUCCGUAAGUAGUGGCGAGCGAACGCGGAAGAGGGCAAACCGAGAGUAGAAAUACUUUCGGGGUACGGACUGCUUUUAAGACUUAAUCUGUUAACCGAACGGCAUGGGAAGGCCGGUCAGAGAGUGUGAGAACCACGUAGGUGAAAACGGAGAGAGCUGCGCAGGAUCCAGAGUACGGCCAGACACGUGAAACCUGGUCGGAAGAUGGGGGGACCACCCUCCAACCCUAAAUACUACCCAGUGACCGAUAGCGUAUAGUACUGUGAAGGAAAGGUGAAAAGCACCCCGGGAGGGGAGUGAAAAAGAACCUGAAACCCUGUGCCUACAAGCACCUAGAGCGCGUCAAAGCGUGAUAGGGUACUUUUUGUAGAACGGUCCGGCGAGCGAUUGUAUGCAGCAAGGUUAAGGACUUAAGGUCUGGAGCCGAAGCGAAAGCGAGUUUGAAAAGGGCGUUAAGUUGCAUAUAAUGGGCCCGAAACCGGGUGACCUACCCAUGGUCAGGUUGAAGUGGAAGUAAAAUUCCAUGGAGGACCGAACCGACCUCCGUUGAAAAGGCGGCGGAUGAACUGUGGGUAGCGGAGAAAUUCCAAUCGAACCCGGAGAUAGCUGGUUCUCCCCGAAAUAGUUUUAGGACUAGCCUCAAGUUAGAUACCUGGAGGUAAAGCACUGAAUAGCCUAGCGGCCGAGAGGUUAGCGAAGCUUAUCAAACUCAGAAUGCCAGAGUAUUGAUGCUUGGGAGUCAGACAGUGUCAGAUAAAUGUCAUUGUCAAAAGGGAAACAGCCCAGAUCUACAGCUAAGGUCCCAAAGUCAGGUUAAGUGGAAAACGAUGUGAAGAUACGCAGACAACCAGGAUGUUGGCUCAGAAGCAGCCACUCAUUCAAAGAGUGCGUAAUAGCUCACUGGUCGAGCGUCUUUGCGCGGAGAAUUUAACGGGGCUAAACCUGACACCGAAGCUUAGGCAAUACAGCAAUGUAUUGGGUAGGGGAGCGUUGUAUACGCGGAGAAACAGUAGCGCAAGCGGCUGUGGAGUGUAUAGAAGUGAGAAUGCCGGAAUGAGUAGCGCGAAUGCAGUGAGAAUCUGCAUGGCCGAAAGCCUCAGGUUUCUGGAGGAAGGUUCGUCCGCUCCAGGUUAGUCGGGAGCUAAGGUGAGGCCGAAAGGCGUAGCCGAUGCACAGACGGUAGAGAUUCCGUCACCACCAAAAGAGUUAAACACAGGGACACAUUUGAAGUCUCGGAGCCGGGUGUUGGUUCCGGUAGCGAUCGAGGGAAGUUAGUACCGAAGUCCGGGAUGGAAGAUGGCGAGAAAAGCUGUGUGUAUUUCUGCGGUGCCCGUACCGCAAACCGACACAGGUAGGUAGGAAGAAGAUUCUAAGGCCAACGGGAGAAGGGUUGUUAAGGAACUCGGCAAAUUGACCCCGUAACUUCGGGAGAAGGGGUGCUCCAGAGAUGGAGCCGCAGAGAAUCGGCCCAAGCAACUGUUUACCAAAAACACAGGUUUGUGCUAAAUCGAAAGAUGACGUAUACGAGCUGACGCCUGCCCGGUGCUGGAAGGUUAAGAGGAGAUGUGCAAGCAUUGAAUCGAAGCCCCAGUGAACGGCGGCCGUAACUAUAACGGUCCUAAGGUAGCGAAAUUCCUUGUCAGGUAAGUUCUGACCCGCACGAAUGGCGUAAUGAUUUGGGCACUGUCUCAACAGCCCGCCCGGCGAAAUUGUAGUACCGGUGAAGAUGCCGGUUACCCGCGACAAGACGGAAAGACCCCAUGGAGCUUUACUGUAGCCUAAUAUUGGGUUUCGAUGUUGCAUGCACAGGAUAGAUGGGACUCUUGGAAACCAAGGCUUUGGCUUUGGCGGAGAGGCCGUUGGGAUACCAUCCUUGCGAUAUUGGAAUUCUAACCUGCGGCUCUGAAUCGAGUCGGGGGACAUUGUUAGGUGGGCAGUUUGACUGGGGCGGUCGCCUCCUAAAGAGUAACGGAGGCGUUCAAAGGUUCGCUCAGCUUGAACGGAAAUCAAGCAAAAGAGUGCAAACGCAGAAGCGAGCCUAACUGCGAGACUGACGGGUCGAGCAGUAACGAAAGUUGGAGUUAGUGAUCCGGUGGUAUGUGAGUGGAAAUGCCAUCGCUCAACGGAUAAAAGUUACCCUGGGGAUAACAGGCUGAUCUCCCCCAAGAGUCCACAUCGACGGGGAGGUUUGGCACCUCGAUGUCGGCUCAUCGCAUCCUGGGGCUGUAUUCGGUCCCAAGGGUUUGGCUGUUCGCCAAUUAAAGCGGUACGCGAGCUGGGUUCAGAACGUCGUGAGACAGUUCGGUCCCUAUCUGUCGUGGGCGCAGGAUAUUUGAUGGGAGCUGUCCCUAGUACGAGAGGACCGGGACGGACGUACCUCUGGCGCACCAGUUGUUCCGCCAGGAGCAUAGCUGGGCAACUACGUACGGAUCGGAUAAACGCUGAAAGCAUCUAAGCGUGAAGCCGACCCAAAGAUAAGAUAUCCCAUUGU
rnacentral:rRNA from 1 species